UUUAAUCUAUAUCUAUAAUAGAAACAAUUUUCUAUUAAAUGCAUUAAAUACAUUCAUUUACUUUGCAUGGUUGGUUUAUGUCAAUUAAUCAAAGAAUUUAUAUGUUCAAAAUUAACAAAAUGUUUGCUUUAAUGCUGACACUGGCAGCUGUUCAAAGAAACAUGACCUCAAUGUACCUCAAACUCUCCUUUGGUGUACUUGGCGUCUGGAACACUUACAAUCUCAUCUUCUUCACACUCAGGAAAGCCCUGAAGAAAACAGGGUGACAGCUGAAAAUGACCUACAUUAAUGUGCCACAGGGUGAGAGUGGCAAUCACCAUGGCUGCAGUAGUUCGGGCUUUCCCAUUAUGACAGUUGAAGAUGAAAGCACAGUUGGGGUCUUCAGCCAGACUGCUCUUCAUGGCCUCCAAUAAGCGGUGCACAGCAGUCAGUCAGGGGAAUCCGCUGGUAGCUGAGACCUGGAUAAAUGCUCUUCUGAUGGACAAAGAGCUCCUCUAUGGUGUGACAACUCUUAAACAUCCUCAUCUGUUUAUCCUGCUCUGUAAUCACUUCCAG